CUUCUACACUUUGCCAAGGAACGGCACCUGGUGAGAAUAUGUUGUUGUUGUUGUUGUUGUUGUUGUUGUUGUUGUUGUUAUAACGUGCCUCUGAUGGUGUUGAGGAAUAUCCUCAACUGGAGGAUGCAGAGACAGGAGAGACAGGUAACCACUUCAAGCACUCCUUGGCUUUAAAAAGAAGGGGAAGAGCGAUUGCUCAGCAAUAGAACAUCUGCUUUUCAGGCAGAAAAUUGCAAGUUCAAUCCCUGGUGCCCCUGCUAGGUCUUGGGAAUGAGACCCCUUCCUGAACCCCAGAGACCUGCUGCCAGUCAGUGCAGUCAGUUCUGAAUUAGAUGGACCAAUGUUCAGACUCGUUAUAGGAAGAUGGCUUAGAUAUGACCAUCCAUUAUGAGUGUAAUGUACGUUUAGUCAACGUGACACCCUGUUGAUGGCUGGGGCAGAAGCGAGUUGGAGUUCAACAACAUCUGUUGUUGUUUAGUCGUUUAGUCGUGUCCGACUCUUCGUGACCCCAUGGACCAGAGCACGCCAGGCACUCCUGUCUUCCACUGCCUCCCGCAGUUUAGUCAAACACAUGCUGGUAGCUUCGAGAACACUAUCCAACCAUCUCGUCCUCUGUCGUCCCCUUCUCCUUGUGCCCUCCAUCUUUCCCAGCAUCAGGGUCUUUUCCGGGAGUCUUCUCUUCUCAUGAGGUGGCCAAAGUAUUGGAGCCUCAGCUUCACGAUCUGUCCUUCCAGUGAGCACUCAGGGCUGAUUUCCUUCAGAAUGGAGAGGUUUGAUCUUCUUGCAGUCCAUGGGACUCUCAAGAGUCUCCUCCAGCAUCAUAAUUCAAAGCAUCAAUUCUUCGGCGAUCAGCCUUCUUUAUGGUCCAGCUCUCACUUCCAUACAUCACUACUGGGAAAACCAUAGCUUUAACUAUACGGACCUUUGUUGGCAAGGUGAUGUCUCUACUUGUCUUUGUUGUCAAGGUGAUGUCUCAACAACAUCUACUAUCCCUGAUUUAACAUGUUAACCAGUUCUGAAUGUCAGUUUAGGCUGAGCAAGUGGCAGUCGCUGCAGGCAUUCUUUUCAAGUGCUCCACCAAAAACAAGAAAAAGAAGGUGCAGAAUUGCAUUGCAUUUCCAUAUGGUAAUGGUCCAUGGGUAAAAGUUUAGAAACAAUUAUACGCAGAGAACCAGGCAGAAGGCUUUCUUGGCAGUGGCGUCCGCUCUGUGGAACACCCUCCUAUCAGAUGUCAAGGAAAUAAAUAUCUGACUUUAGAAGACAUCUGAAGGCAACCCUGUAUCAGGAAGUUUUCAAUGUCUAAUGUUUUACCAUUUUUAAUGAGUUGUAAGCUGGCCAGAGCGGCUAGGGAAACCCAGCCAGAUGGGCGGGGUAUAAAUAAUAAAAUUAUUACUAUUAAAAUAGAAAUAAACUCCAACUCACCAUAGUGACAAAGGGCCAUUCUUAUUGACACUGCUGUGGUAUUUUGCUAUUUAAACUUUUCUUCUUUAAAAAAACAAACUAUAAAUGGACACUUAAAAGUUAAAUCAGAUUGUGAUUCACCUCUGAAUGCUUCCUACCAGACUCAACCUUCUGUCUUUUUUUACCAGAAGCAAACCUUAGGAUUUACAGGCAAACCUAAAGUGAGAAAAUAGUAUUGGUUUUACAGAAGCAACAUUGAAUCCUAGGACUCUUCCCAUGAUGGAGUGAGCUUCCGUUGCUCUGUCCCAGCUUCUGCCAACCUAGCAGAAAGCACGCCAGUGCAAGUAGAUAAAUAGGUACUGCUGUGGUGGGAAGUUAACAGCAUUUCCAUGCACUGAGAGUUCUAUCACAAUGUUCUGUUGUGCCAGAAGCGGUUUAGUCAUGCUGGCCACAUGGCCCAGAAGGCUGUCUGUGGACAAACACCGGCUCCCUCAGCCUGAAGAGUGAGAUGAGCAUCACACCCCAUAGUUGCCUUUGACUGGACUUAACUGUCCAGGAAUCCUUUACCUUUAGCUUACCUAGUGGCCCGGGUGGUCCAGAAUCCUGUUCUCAUAGUGGCCAACUAGAUGCCUAUGGGAAACCUGCAAGAAGGAUCUGGGCACAAGAACACCCUCCUUUCCUGAAGUUUCCAGCAACUAGCAUUAUUGCCUUUGAUGACUUGGGUGACAGAGCACUUUUGUUGUUGUUGUUUAGUUGUUUAGUGGUGUCCGACUCUUCGUGACCCCAUGGACCAGAGCAUGCCAGGCACUCCUGUCUUCCACUGCCUCCCGCAGUUUGGUCAAACUCAUGCUGGUAGCUUUGACAGCACUGUCCAACCAUCUCAUCCUCUGUUGUCCCCUUCUCCUUGUGCCCUCCAUCUUUCCCAAUAUCAGGGUCUUUUCCAGGGAGUCUUCUCUUCUCAUGAGGAGGCCAAAGUAUUGGAUGGAGCCUCAGCUUCAGGAUCUGUCCUUCCAUUGAGCACUCAGGGCUGAUUUCCUUCAGAAUGGAUAGGUUUGAUCUUCUUGCGGUCCAUGGGACUCUCAAGAGUCUCCUCCAGCACCAUAAUUCAAAAGCAUCAAUUCUUCAGCGAUCAGCCUUCUUUAUGGUCCAGCUUUCACUUCCAUACAUCACUACUGGGAAAACCAUAGCUUUUACUAUACGGACCUUUGUUGGCAAGGUGAUGUCUCUGCUUUUUAAGAUGCUGUCUAGGUUUGUCAUUGCUUUUCUUCCAAGAAGCAGGCCUCUUUUAAUUUCUUGGCUGCUGUCACCAUCUGCAGUGAUCAUGGAGCCCAAGAAAGUAAAAUCUCUCACUGCCUCCAUUUACUCCCCUUCUAUUUGCCAGGAGGUGAAGGGCCCACUGGCCAUAAUCUACUUUUUUUUGAUGUUGAGUUUCAGACCAUAUUUUGCGCUCUCCUCUUUCACCCUCAUUAAAAGGUUCUUUAAUUCCUCCUCACUUUCUGCCAUCAGGGCUGUGUCAUCUGCAUAUCUGAGGUUGUUGAUAUUUCUUCUGGCAAUCUUAAUUCCGGCUAGGGAUUCAUCGAGCUCCGCCUUUCGCAUGAUGAAUUCUGCAUAUAAGUUAAAUAAGCAGGGAGACAAUAUACAGCCUUGUCGUACUCCUUUCCCACUUUAAUCCACUUUAAAUGUAGAAACCUAGUUCUGGUAUGCAGCUGAUUCACUGCUGCAAAAUACUGGAGAUCUGGAGGCAGCCCUCCAAUAUGCAGCACUUGAGGAAAAAUAAAGCCUUUUGAUUGUAACUGUUAGGGUUUGCUUUUUCUUUAUUCUUUCCAAUUUGGGCCAUUCCUGGACUGAGCAUUGCUCCCAUAUGAAUAAUAAACCAGUUCCUGGAGCAUUUCUGGGCAACAAAGGGCUGUUACUUUUGCGGCUGCUUCUCCUUCUCACAUUUCCAUUGUUCCAGAUUUUCAAAGGAGUCAGCCAGGUGGAAGUGGAAAAAUAAAAGUAUAUGGGAUUUGCAAAGAUUAUAUGCAUUUCUGUGUGGUUGAACGAACACUGUUAUGGUCUGUUUAAGCUAAAGCAUGAAUGCAGAAUUCAUGACCACUGUAAGAACAGGAUGCUGUGUUAAGUAUAAUUGUUUAAUUCACACUGAAAUGCCUAAAUGUGCAUUACUGAAGGCUUUAACAUGGGGAAAUUUCACUGAAGUAUUCUAAGUGGUCUCUGAACCCCUUGAUGGGUUGAUAAUUAACUAUUGUUGUUUUCUGCUAGCUAACACGGGAGUGUUUAACUUUAGAUCAGGGUACAAAGGUAUUUGGUUGCAAAUCUCCAUUUUGAAGGGAGUUGCCUUUGUUCUCAGGCUCUGUGCGAGUAAAGAUGUGUAAAUGGCUCUCCAGGAAAACAGCUCCAGGCAAAAUGGAGGCUGUAAGGAGAGCGAGACCUUUGAUUAUAGGUCUAUUUAGAAUUAUCUUUUAUAUCUCAGAAGAUGAACCUGUGGACUUGCAUCAAAUAUUGUAUGGAAUUAUCUGGAUGUAUCUUUGAUGUUUUUGUUCUGUUUUGAAGAAAGUUCUGUAAGUAAAGUUUUUUGAUAAUAUCUAAUGGGUCUGGACAACGCUCUAUUUCAUAAGGAGUCAGUUUCUAUGCACCCAGUAGCUUCAAACUGCGUAAUGUUAAUAGCAAUAUGCUGGGCUGUUGUUGUUGUUUAGUUGUUUAGCUGUGUCCGACUCUUCUUGACCCCAUGGACCAGAGCAUGCCAGGCACUCCUGUCUUCCACUGCCUCCCACAGUUUGGUCAAACUCAUGCUGGUAGCUUCGAGAACACUAUCCAACCAUCUCAUCCUCUGUCGUCCCCUUCUCCUUGUGCCCUCCAUCUUUCCCAACAUCAGGGUCUUUUCCAGGGAGUCUUCUCUUCUCAUGAGGUGGCCAAAGUAUUGGAGCCUCAGCUUCAGGAUCUGUCCUUCCAGUGAGCACUCAGGGCUGAUUUCCUUCAGAAUGGAUGCGUUUGAUUUUCUUGCAGCCCAUGGGACUCUCAAGAGUCUCCUCCAGCACCAUAAUUCAAAAGCAUCAAUUCUUUGGCGAUCAGCCUUCUUUAUGGUCCAGCUCUCACUUCCAUACAUCACUACUGGGAAAACCAUAGCUUUAACUAUACGGACCUUUGUUGGCAAGGUGAUGUCUCUGCUUUUUAAGAUGCUGUCUAGGUUUGUCAUUGCAUGCUGGACUACAUGUUCCAUUGGCCUGAUCCACCAGGUUCUUCUUAUGUUCUUGGGGGUUUCUGAUGCCUGCUUAGCUGAAAUGCUACCCAUCAUCACAUCAUCUUAAGGUGGGUUACAAUAAAACGCUGAUGUUAACAUAAGAUAACUAUAAUGUACUAUACAAAUGAAUUGCAAAAUCAGCUAUAAAAAAAUAUGUAAUAAAGAGAAUUGUAAGCAGCAGCAGAACUAGGACUAACAUCAUAAAAGUCCUCGCAAACAGGUAGCUCUUUACCUGGAGCCGAAAUGUGAACAAUGUUGGAAUCCAUAGCAAUUCCUCUGCAUUGCAAAUUGAAAUUUUUGCUUAUAGAGCUGCAUGUAUUAUCUUAUAUUUUCCAUGGCAAUAAGGAAGUGAGAAAAUAACUACUGUUUAUGGAAUUUACAUAGCAUGCCCUCGCUGAAUUUACAUAGAAUGCCCUCGCUGAAUCCUCCUGUUCCUGGCCAUACCAAAAAGACUUCUUUGUUUGUUAGGUGAAGAUGUCAUCGCAAUAUAAAAUACCCAUUGGUCCACCAAGAUGUCAUAUUCAGAAUAUUGUUUUAAAUGUGUUCUGCCCAGCCCUUCGUAUCUCCUUUCAUAAUUUGCGGUCUGAACAUUCAUUUGGAACAUGGAAUGACCAGAAUAUCACAUUAUCUCUUUUGUUUCUUGCCUGCACCUUUGGCAGUGGGAUUACAUCACUCUGUUUUACUGGGAAAUGCCUAAUUGAAUAGACAGAUUAUUAGAUUAAAAAUGUGUUGGGGUAGAAGACCAUCUUUCAGUUACUUAUUUGCACAGAGCUAGUGUUUUGUGACUCUAAGACCAAUAGAAACUUUAAUGAAUUAGAUUAAUCAUGUUUAGAUUCAAUUAAGAUAGGACUACAAGAUACACAUAUUUCAUUUGUGUGUAUAUUAGUGCAAACAUGGGGGAUUGCUUAUCUCUUCCCACCCCCAAUCUGAUCCCUGUCAAUCAAGUUGCAUAUGAAAAUUGUUCAAAAUGGUGUUCUUGGUGUCUGUUUCUAUUGGGUGGGGACCCUCAGGAGUGGGGGUCCUUCGACAGUGCACCUGUGAACUUGUCCUGAGGAUUCCCACUCCAUAGCUGUCAAGCGUCCCUUAUUUGGCGGGACAGUCCCUUAUCCCAGCGCCAUGUCCCGCUGCUGUCCCUUAUUGAUGAUGUCCCUUAAAUUUCCUGGGUUUCAAAGGAAGCAGCUCCUCUCCCUCCCUCCCUGCCGGCCAGGGAAGAGGGAGGCUCCAACUGUGUUGCUUGGCUGCGUUGCUCACCCAAUAAGGAGUCUAAGAACGACUGGGGGGUGGAGCUUGCAUGCCUUGUGCCAAUCAAAUCGGCCACGUUGCCUGGGGACUCGCCUUUGCUCCCAGCGGAGAGGUGACAGUGGUUUUCUUUUCUGCAUCCCCUUUGCUGGGUUGCUGCGCUAUGGGAACUACCACUUGAGGCUUCAUUUGGCUGCUGCUUGACUAAAAUCCCUUAUUUGGGCUGCUGAUCCCUUAUUUUCGAGACUGCUGGUCCCUUAUUUUCAAAUCUGUAAGUUGACAGCUAUGCUCCACUCCUGUUUGUGCUCCAUCACUGCUGUAGUCAUAUAUUGAAGUCUGUGGUUAAAACAGCAGUUUUUAUCAUAAUAUGUAAUUCUUUUGCCUGUUUUGACAUGUUUUAAUACGCUUCUUAUAUACGUUCUCAUUUCAUUUUUAACUGUAUUGUUUUAUCACUGAUGUGUUUUCCACCCUAGGCUCAUCUGAGAGGAAGGGUUGGAUGUAAAUUUAAUAAAUAAAUGGUUAUAUGCAGUAUUUAUAUUUGAGGUUGUUUUUAAAAGCAGCUUGAGCUGUACUGCAGAUGUAAGGACCCAGCUACUUGAUGUUUCAAAGAUGGUUGAGCAUUUCUUCAUAUCAUUUCUCCUGGCUGGUAUUUCAUGUUAGAAAACUGAAAUUAUAGCAAUAAAAACAAAACCCAUCAUUAAAUAAACAAAUAUAAAUAACUCAGCAAAGUGUGAGGGGUAGUGGAAAGGGGGAAGGUGGCAUUUUUUUCUAACCCUACCAAGCUGGAAAGACGCAUGUUGCCCUCUGAAUUUCCACAGGAGGGAGAAGUCAUUAGCGAACCCAUGAAAGACAGCAAGCAGAUGAUUGUGAAAAAAAAGAUAUUUGUGCCAUUACUUCAGUGCCGCUGUAUUUAAAGUUUCGAGUUCCCAGUGUUUACACAGCGUGUUUGGCUGGCGCUGUGGAACGGUUGUUGGCGAAAAGCAGACAGAGCCAGAAGCUGGUCCAGACGCUUCGAAAACCAAGCAAAAGUGUGGGUGGCUGAGGUGGAAACAGAGGUGAAAUUAAGGAUGCAGUUACUUAGUUUUAAUUCAUUUUAGGGAAAUUCUCUGAAGGUAAUCAUUCUCCCAUAUGAACAUGCCUGUCAGCUGAGGUCAUCGUCAGGAUCUCUUCUCUGUCCUCCAGAAGUUAGGCAGGAGUCUACAAGAAGCGGGGACUUUUUUGUGCUGGCACCCAAGCGAUGCUAAACCCUACCCAGACAUGUGUCCCUGAGGGAGUUGGGAGAGAAACUCAAUUCGGUUUGGAUUUUCAUCUCCGCCAAGCUAAGCAGUUGGCCCCUUAUCUCUCUCGCCCUGACCUAGCCACUGUGAUCCACGCGACGGUCACCUCCAGACUGGAUUAUUGUAACUCGCUCUACGUGGGGCUGCCCUUGAGACUGACCCAGAAACUCCAGCGGGUGCAGAAUGCCGCGGCGAGACUCCUUAUGGGGUCUUCGCUGCGAGAUCACAUUCAUCCGGUACUAUACCAGCUGCACUGGCUCCCGGUGGAGUACAGGAUCAGGUUUAAGGUGCUGGUUUUAACCUUUAAAGCCCUAUACGGCCUAGGACCCUCGUACCUACGGGACCGCCUCUCCUGGUAUGCCCCACAGAGGAACCUACGGUCUGCAAAUAAAAACAUCCUGAAGGUCCCAGGCCUCAGAGAGGUUAGGCUGGCCUCAACUAGAGCCAGGGCUUUCUCGGCUGCGGCUCCAAUCUGGUGGAACGCUCUGUCACAAGAGACUAGGGCCCUGCGGGACCUGACAUCUUUCCGCAAGGCCUGCAAGACAGAGUUGUUCCACCAGGCCUUUGGUCAGGGCCCAGCCUGACUCCCACCUCCGGCAACCUGCACAGAACUUUGCUCAACAGUUGCCAUUAAUUUGAUUUUAAUUAAUUUUUAUAAUGAAAUGUUUUAGAAUGUUGGAUUAUUUAAUUGUUUGAUUAUUUAUUUGUUGUUAGCCGCCCUGAGCCUGGCUUUGGCUGGGGAGGGCGGGAUAUAAAUAAAAUUUAUUAUUAUUAUUAUUAUUAAUGCAAACCCACCUAACGCGCACCUUCCAAAACAAUACACAAACCAAAAUGCAAUUGUAUCUUGAAACUCGCACUUCUCCCUGAAUUUUGUGAUGCAGUUUCCCAAACAAAAGUUGUGUGUAUCUGGGGGACAUGCAUUCGGAAAGGCAUACGUGAGUCGGAUGAACAUACGAAAAAGGGGAACCAUUUGCAAAAAUGUGUACAUCUGGCAAAUCCACAUACAGAAAUGAACAGAUUCAUGCCAAAACCCUGGUAUAUCUUGUGGGAACAUUAAAAAAAAAAAAAAAUCACCAACCGAAGCAGAAAUGUGGAGAACUGAAUUUAAGAUUGGAAAAAUGAGAAACUGGGAGAAAGCAAAAUUAGCAGGUUUGUUCACCUCUAGUGCCCAGCAUCUUCUCUGCUAUCUCACAGGCAAAGUAUGCUCUGUGCUUUUCUGUCUUCAGGGGUUUUAAAUAUUGAAAAUCCUUUUGAUUACGAGCACAAAAAACAAUCAGAGCAAUAGCUGAAACCCAUGUGAAAUACUCAGAGUCGAGAGUGGAUUUCAUGCUCUUUAUUCAGCUCAUAGUGGUGAGGAGGAAUGAAAGUUUCCCCAAAGUAUCUGCUUUAUAUACAUUAUUUACACAAUGGGCUCCACGUGAUUGGCUAAUUCCAGAAUUCUCCUGUAGGCCAAUCAGGUUGUGGAUUCACUUCCAUCUGGAGCUGGAUUGGGUGGCUCCUGCAGACCAAUUAUACUGCUGCAUUGUUCUAGGACUAAUCAGACUGCUGACUUCUGAAUCCUAUUGUUCUAGGACCGAUCAGAUUGCUGCAUUUUGGAUCCUAUUGUUCUAGGACCAAUCAGACUGCUGCAUUUUGGAUCCUAUUCAACUCAGUACAUAACACCACGGCUGCUCACUGGACUGGUUGCAUGUAAGAAGACAGGCAGGUGUGGGCAGCCUGGGGCUGAAAGGGCUGUGGUCCAUUUCCCCUGAUCACUGAAUCAUAAAACUGUAGAGUUGGAAGGGACACCAAGGGUCAUCUAGUCCAGCCCCCAGCAAUGCAGGAAUCCUGCCUGCAGUUGUCCCUGGGUAGGCUCGAACCACUAACCUUCUGGUUAACAGCCAGAUGCACUGACCUAUUGUGCCAUUGGGGAUGGGCCAGCCUUCACCGCUCCAAUCAUGAUGAUAUACGAUAUCUUUAUUGUUAUUGUCCCAUACAGAACAAUGAAAUUGGAAAUCUACAUAAAACAUUCAAAACCCCCUAAAAACUCUGAAACCCCUUUUUAAAAUACAAUAUACUAUAGAGACUCCUUAUGCUGCGUCUAGAACCAGAAUUGCAUUUGUGUAGAAACUCUUUCUCAGGCAGCUAGUCCUGGUCUUUAUAACCCUAUACCUUCUUCCAGGGGCAGAAGCUGAAAGAGAUCAUUUCCAGGGUGUGUACUAUCCUGCGCUAUCUCUGCAGCUUUCUUAUGGCACCUGACACCAUAGACAGCAUAGACAAAGUUCAAGGAUUCCAUACAAGAAUCCCAUCAGCGUUGCGAUUACCAAUGAAGUUGACAAGCCAUGUUUCCACUGAGUUAUUAACAAAUGGACUGAUUCAUCUUGCAAAUCAGUGCAUGCCAUUAACCCUGGUGGAGCAAGCUUUGGUCUUUCGCAGUGUCGGAAUAUAGCAUUCAAUGGGCAGAGGGGAGUUCAGAAAUGUUCCUGAACGGCAUGUGCAUUUCUGGAACUGGCAAGAGAAACAGAUCCUCAUUCCAGCUGUUUAGACAGAGCAUCCCUGUGAGAUGCACUCAGCACUAUGGAAAGACCAGACACAUUUUCUCUCUGUUUUUUCUGUUCUGCGUUUGUGCCAUACAAGGUCAUUUGUGUCUCUGUUUGGUGGACUGGAGUAUAUUUAUGCAUCUUUGUCUAUUCUUUUUUAUUUUGGGGGGGGAAAGAAAUAAUUUUAAAAAUAUACAAACCAAUGCAUUGGGUCUAAAACAGCUGUCAACAACCUGGUGCCCUCUAAAUGUUGUGAAAUAUAACCCCCACGAGCCCCUGCUAGCUGAGGUUGGUGGGAGUCCAAAACAGGGGGAGGGCAGCAAGUUGACCAGGGCUGCUCAAAAGCAUAAUUUGGGGGCCCAUUUUAACUACUUUUCCUUACAGAAAAGUUCUAUUAUUAUUGUCACACCAUCAGUUUGUUUUUCGCUGUAUUAGACGCACCGGACGAUUGGACGCACCUAGUUUUUAGGGGAGGAAAACAAGAAAUAAGAAAGGAAUGCAAAGCAUUCUGAGCUAAGAGGGAGCGCACCUCCAUCUUCGCUCACUAGGCUUUGCGGGGCUAUCCCUGAAGCCAGGAGAGCAAGCGGGAUCUGUGCGCACCGAUCCCUCUUGCUCUCCUGGCUUCAGCAAAAGCAAGCCUACUGGCUUUCCUCCUGCAAGAGCCGUGCGCUCUUUAAAGGGAGUGCGGCUCUUGGGGGCUUUUCUGGGAGGUGGGGGAAGGAAGAGAGCCGCGCGUUCUGUCCCUUCCCCCACCUCCCGCAGAAGCCAGGGAUAGCUGCACGAAGCCUCCGCAGGGGAGCGGGAUGAAGACUCCCCGCUCCCCUGCAGAGGCUUCGCGUGGCUAAGCCAGAAGCUAGAACAGCCAGCAGGAUCACAGUGCAGCGAUCCCGCUGGCUGUCCUGGCUUCUUCUUUAGCCAUGCGCAACCUCUCCCAGGCAAGGGGAGCCUUCAUCCUCUGUCCGGGAGAGACUGCGUGUGGCUAAGACUCCCCCAAGAGCCGCGCUCCCUUUAAAGAGUGCGCAGAGUGUGUGUGCGGCUCUUGGGGGCUUUUCCCCGAGGAAGGAGAAGGGCAGCCCUUCUCCCUCCUUGGGAAAAGCCCCCAAGAGCCGCACACACGCUCCACACGGCUCUUUAAAGGGAGCACCGACAGAGCCUCCCGCCUGCAUUCGCUCCAUAAGACGCACACACAUUUCCCCUUACUUUUUAUGAGGGGAAAAGUGCGUCUUAUAGAGCGAAAAAUACGGUACUUACUGUUUUUAUUGCACCACUAGUGCGUAUGGUGCUUAACACAAGAGGAUCUAUGUUCCUCUUACACUCUAUAAUUCCAAAAAUGAAGAAGGGGUGGGAGUGGAGGAAAGGAAUACGAGGGAGGGAAAAUGCCACAGUUUUUAAGAAAAGCCCAUCAGCCAGUUUGUAGCCCAGUCCCAACAACUAUUUCCUUAAAUUCAUCAAAAUCACUUCUUCCGCAAACUUCCCCUCACCUGCAGAAAUUUGCUGUGUCUUUAGGGUGUAUGGCACACACCACUCCCCCUUUUUCUAUAGUUAAUGCUUAGCAGAUUUCAACAAGUCUGCCUGGCUCUGUGUGUUAAAAAAAAAAGUACAGUUUUAAGUAGUGACAAAUAGAAAGCACAUGCUUAUUAUACAACUACAUUACACAACUGCUGAGCAGCUUUUAUGUCAUCUGCACUUAAAACAACAGACUUGUGGAGGCUUGUGCUGUUGUGUGUGUCAGUAUUAGAAAGCUGAGUAGGACUGAGUAGGAAUCCUAGUUGUUUGGAGUUUUGCUGCACCUAUUGCAUUUUUAUCCCACCCUUCCUCCUCAAGGAGCUCUGGGCUGCAUGUGUGUGUGUGUGUGUGUGUGUGUGUGAGAGAGAGAGAGAGAGAGAGAGAUGGGGGGGGGGGAGAACCCACAAUUUACACAGGAAUUAUGUUCCAGGGAUCAGGCCUAAAGCCAAAAUUGCCUAUAGCCAAAACACAAUGGGUUCAAUAGCGGGUGGGAUUGUCAAAAUCAUUUCGCCCCUUUCCAUCCCUUUUCAAUUCUGUUUAAAUUUUUUGCCGUGCACGUAGAGCAGAACACACACAAGUUAAAUGCUCAUAAAUUGCGGGAUUACUGUUCAAUUUCAAAACAAAAACAAAGAAAAGCAGCUUUUAAUACUUCCAAAAGCAUAACAAAACAAUUGCCAUGGAAAACUUCUAAAAGAAGUUACAGGCACAGUGGUACCUCGGGUUAAGAACUUAAUUUGUUCUGGAGGUCCGUUCUUAACCUGAAACUGUUCUUAACCUGAGGUACCACUUCAGCUAAUAGGGCCUCCAGCUGCUGCCAUGCCACAGCCAUGCGAUUUCUGUUCUCAUCCUGAAGCAAAGUUCUUAACCCGAGGUACUAUUUCUGGGUUAGCGGAGUCUGUAACCUGAAGCGUCUGUAACCUGAAGCAUCUGUAACCCGAGGUACUACUGUAAAAACAUUCCAAGGGCAAUUGCCAUUACAAAAAUGUUUCUAUCCAAUGAUCUUGAGGUUGCCGGGACAACAUUCCUACCCAGCCUUUCAAUCUGAGAUCCUUCAAGGUGGCACAUGUCAAAAGAAUUUGGGCAAUACUGGACCACCAAGCCCCAUCAGUGCGGAGCCGGUGCACCCAUGAGGCAAGCUGAGGCAAUCACCUCAGGUGACAGAAUCCACAGGGGCAGCAGAUUUGACCUCCAAGAAAUGCAUUACCUAUUAUGGCCGCCACCAAAUCUGUCAUCUCCGCCGCAGGGCUUCCACAAUGCUGCCUCUAAAGUAGUCUCUUAGCAAAUAGAAGGCACUCUUGGUUUCCCCGCACCCCUGUUUCUGAUGUAGAUCUUUAUUCAUCUGUUCUUCCCCGGUGAGGAGGGGGACACUACCAUUUUGUGAUUUGAUGCCCAUGACAUUUUGGCACCUGAAGCAAUUUUGUUCCAGAAGUUUCUCCUUAUACAAGCUUCCACAAAUAGUUAGCUCCAGAUCUUUCCUGUGUGAAUUAACAAGGCAGGAUUUAUCUAUUAACACACCCAUAACAUCAGUCAUGUUACCCAGUGACCAUCUUCAGAGAGGGUGUCUGUCACAUCUUCUGGAUAUCUUGGACUACAAUUCCCAUCUGCCCCAGCCAGCAUGCUCAAUGGUCAGAGACCAUGGGAGUUGUAGUCCACAGCAGCUGGAAGGCACCAGUUCAGGGAAAGCUGCGACAGCUUGUUGCGAUAUCCAAACGCAGCCAAUAGUUUCAAAGAGACAUGGUGUGUGCACAUGAUUUUCUCUUGUCCUGCUCUUGCCACUGGUCAAACAAGUUUUUUGAAAACGUGUAAGAUCAUGCUAAAGCAAUUCACCACCACAAAAAUGGGAUGAAUAUGCAGAACACAUGUCAUGGUUCUUCUUUCAAACUGCUUUCAACACCCUGGAAAAAAAGCGCCCCCUUCCAGCCAAAGCCUGUGUCCUAUUCAAUUCUGGUUUUAAUGUAAGAACAUAUUAACUGCUUUUUGGGAUCAGAGAAAAGAUCUAUCUAGUCCAGCAUUCUUCUUCCAACAGCAGCCAACCAGCAAGUUUCCUCUCCACAGAGUUCGGAUUCUUCCUCACAGUAUUGGCAGUAACAUUUAACCAUAGAGGCACAGGACAAUAUUUUCUUAUUCCUCACCCGCACUUCAAACACUCCCCACCCUGCCAGGAACAAUGAUAACAGCUGAUGCUUAGCUUCAUAAUAUCUGUCACUGGCAAAAUGCAGUGCAGAGCCAGUUAAUAUCAUAUCACUGCUUUGAUGCACAAAAGAAAGAGGCUUUUAAGUGCUUUUACGUGUUCAAAGCAUUAUGCUGGGUGUGGGCGGGUGAGUAAAAUAACACGGAGCAUUAUCACAACUUUCUUCCCCUCAGAUUUGCUUACUGAAGUAAUCUGUACAUUUUAAGUUUCCCACAGUGAUAUACUUUUCCAGUUUUUAAAACAACACAAACAUUUUCCUUGGCUAGCUGCCUGGUGCAAAGAAUAAAAGUUGUCAGUGCAGCUAAAUGACUUUAAAAUACAAGGUAUUUUCUCUGAGGAGAAGCAGAGAAUGUAAAAGUGAUCUGUGCAGGCGUGAUCCUAUUCACAGGAGGCCAGGAAAAACAAACCGGGGCAGCUGACUAUCUCUUUGACAGCUAAGUGAUUUCUUUCCUCAGCUGUCCACCAUCUCAAUAAGAUGCUCACGUGCUUCACCAAUAUUUGUUUAUCUCCUCUUGGGCACGGGCUGCAAUGGCACGGCAUUUAAGGUGUGUCCAGAGAUAUUUCUAGGGAAGGGUUGUGUCUGGACGUGCAACUCGUGAUGGGGCAGAUGUAUUUUGCCAUGCGCGUUGGCAGUCAAGUCAUAUGCAUGCUUAAGGUAAAGGUAAAGGGACUCCUGACCAUUAGGUCCAGUCGUGACCAACUCUGGGGUUGCGGUGCUCAUCUCGCUUUAUUGGCCAAGGGAGCUGGCGUACAGCUUCCGGGUCAUGUGGCCAGCAUGACUAAGCUGCUUCUGGCGAACCAGAGCAGCGCACAGAAACGCCGUUUACCUUUCCACUGGAGCGGUACCUAUUUAUCUAUUUGCACUUUGAUGUGCUUUCGAACUGCUAGGUUGGCAGGAGCAGGGACCGAGCAAUGGGAGCUCACCCCAUCGCGGGGAUUCGAACUGCCAGCCUUCUGAUCGGCAAGCCCUAGGCUCUGUGGUUUAACCCACAGAGCCACCUACGUCCCAUAUGCAUGCUUACUCAGGAGUAAUUACCAACAAGUGCAAUGGGGUUUACUCCCAAGCAACUGCAUGUAGCAUCGUUGUCACACACUGCAAUUUCAUGCAUGUUUGCUCAGAAGUAAGUCUGGGAGGAUUUUGUUGUACUCAGGUUCUUGUGGCAGGCUUCCCAUAGGCAUCUGACGCAUAGAAUCGUAGAAUUGGAAGGGACCACGAGGGUCAUCUACUCCAACCCCUGCAAUGCAGGAAACUUUUGCCCAGUGUGGAGCUUGAACUCACGACCAUGAGAUUAAGAGUCUCAUGCUCUACCAAUUGGCCACUAUGAGAACGGGAUACUGGACUAAUGGACCUUUGACAUUACUCAGUAAGGCUCUUCUUGUGUCCUUCUGCUAUUGUUGAUGGUGAUGAUUUGCACUGCAGGAUGUCUCUGUUAGGAUAUAGUUCUAUGCCACCUUAACAGGGUCAGGCAUGACUGUUGUGUAUCACAUGCCUGUUUUCUCACUGGGAACUUCCGUUGUAUGUUGCUUUUGUAUUAAGGCUGUUUUGCUGGACAUGAAGGCAAGCAGUCAUGUUUUUCUUUGUUCCUGAACACACUGAAUAAAUGCUGUAAAAAUGCUUGUACAACUCUGUCUGCCUCUUCUCUUGUGGAUUAUUUAUACACUCUGCUGACAGAGUGUGCAUGGGUCUCGGAACGUACCUGAGGCUCGUGUCACUAAUUGACUGUUCCACGGGAGACCGGUGAUCAUCCGGAGCCAGCUGGGGGCCUGCCUGAUGCCCCCGUCUCCCUGGCAGUAUCCUAACAGUCUCAGGUUCAGUCCCCAUUAUCUCCAGGUACAACAGGGAGAGAUCCCUACUUGAAGCCCUGGACAGUCACUGCCAGUCAGUGUAGACAAGACUGUUACAGAACCCGGGUGCCUCCCCCCCCCCUCUGUCGAGCGGCGGCCAGAGCCCAUGGGGUUCCAGGCACUCACCCAGGGUCUGUGGUCCUUUGGAGAACUGAGACGCGGCAGAGACUGUCGUAGCUUUUAGAAACAUGGUUUAUUUCUUAAGAAAUAUGGUUUAUAGGUGUACUUACACCUUCGGUCUGCAUGGAGGGAGUCCAGAUCUUACAGCACGGUCAUUUCAAGAGGGGCUUGUCCCCCACAGCAGGGCAGCCCUGGGGUCCAAGGCAUUUCUCCCAGGCAGCUUGCGGCCAGCCUGCCCAAGAUGGAUCCCAGUCUGUCUUCUGCCUUCCCAGAGCCCCUUGCUCAAAAACACACACCCCAUCACCUUGGCAAUGCCUGUCUUGCCAGGCCAAAGGAUUCCCCUCAGAUGGUCCAGCAACACCUUUUGUCAUGUUAAUACCUCUAUCUAUCCUAGGUGAGGAAAAGGAAACUUAGCCUGUUCUUUUCCACUGGCCUGCAAUCUUCCCUUCAAUACUCCAAAUAAUCAAAAUCCUAUCAUUUAUUAAUUUACAGUCAUACCUCAUGUUACGUUUGCUUCAUGUUACGUUCUUUCAGGUUACGUCCCGCAGCGACCCGGAAGUACCGGAAAGGGUUACUUCCGGAUUUUGCCACUUGCACUUGCGCAUGCGCAGAAGUGCUAAAUCGUGCUUCGUGCAUGCGCACAAGCGCCAAAUCGCACCGCGCACUUGCGCAGAUACGGCGCUUGAGGUUGCACUCUUUUCAUGUUGCGAACGGGCCUCCGGAACGGAUCACGUUCGCAAACAUAGGUACCACUGUAUAGGGUUUAGGGCUAGAUAUACUCAUGGCCUGACAGUAUAAGGUAAGCUUCCUGGGUCCCUAUGCCACCUGCUCCUCUAUUCUUUCUUACUGUAUUUGGGUAAGAAUUGCAUGCAGAUGAAGGGGAUGGAAAGUUUGAAGGACCCUGGGUGAGAGACAGGGAAGGGGAGACCUCCCGAUGUGAGAGGCUGGGUUGCCACAUCUUUUUCUGUAUGGGACAAAAGUUAAGAUACACUUGUGAGAGAGGAUCUUGCAUUCUUCUUUCUCUUUUUCUCUUCUCUUUGUUUCUCUCUUUUUGUUAUUCUCUGUGCAGAUCUGCUUGUAUUUUUUUCCUGCAGGGAUCUCAUGAGGGAAGUGUGAAGAUCUUCAGAAGUUGGCUUCCUGUUCAAAGCCGGGUUCCAUGCGCAUGGAAUAAGGCUGCAGCUGGAUCUGUUCCUUUAAUGGCCAGGAGCCUAUCAGUUUGAGAAAGGAUGUUUAAGCUCAUUUGCCCUCUCCUCUUCAUUAUUAGCACAGGCUGUGGAAAGGAGGGGGGGACGGCGGCAGGGAGAAGCCAUAAAGUUCCGAGCUCUGUCGUGCUGAAUUCCUUGGCAGCUUCCAAAAGGCGCCUGGGAACUGAGGCGAAAGCUUCCAAUAUCAGACAAUGACUGAUGUACAGCAUGUGUGUCACUCACGGUGUUUGAAAGUGAAUGGCUAUAAAAAUGGGUUUACUAGACAGUAAAUAACUUCUCAAAUAGGCGACGCAGGCCUUUUCUGUUUCUUCCUUCUCCCUCCCCCUCCCCUUUAAAAAGAAAACAUUAUUCUUUUUUGCACACCAAUGGAAAACAGAACACAUCAGGGACCGGAGUUUGUAUUGGGUGAACACAGCGUUCCUACGACUGCCAGCUUCAGCUUUGAAAGGGGUUUCUGUGCCUUUAAAGAAAGCUAGAGCUGCAACCCUGAGCCAUAGCUGUCAACUUACAGAUCUGAAAAUAAGGGACCAGCAGCCUUGAAAAUAAGGGACCAGCAGCCAAAAUAAGGGACCUGCAGCCUGACCUGUUCCAGGCACUCCAGUCUUCCUGUCCUCCUGCAGUCUGGUCAAACUCAUGCUGGGUAGCUUCGAGAACACUGUCCAACCAACUUUGUAACCAGAGGUUCAACUGAAUAGAAUCUGAAUCACAUGCACCACAAGGCCUAUGCAGCCUCAACUUAAGAUGGCUCCCCGGCCUGGCUUUGCACUGCAAAGUUUGCAGCAGCACGUGCAACAAAAUGGCGUCCAGCAUUCAAAAAACCCCUCAGCUUGCCUUAACAAGCCACACACAAGGCAUGCAAGCUCCACCCCCCUCGUCGUUCUUAGACUUCUUAUUGGGUGAGCAACACAGCCAAGCAACACAGUUGGAGCCUCCCUCCUCCCUGGCCGGCAGGGAGGGAGGGAGAGGCGCUGCUUCCUUUGAAAUAUAAGGGACAUUUAAGGGACAUCCAUCAGUAAGGGACAGCAGCGGGACAUGGCGCUGGAAUAAGGGACUGUCCCUUCAAAUAAGGGACAUUUGACAGCUAUGCCCUGAGCACACACCGUGGCAAAUAAACCCACGUACCUAAGCACGACUUGGGUUUAAAGAACAUUUCUGGGAAGGCCGAGAGCUACGCGAGUGUGUGAGAGUCGCCUCUGAAGUUUAUCACAUUAAAUUGUUAAAAGAACUUCCUAAACACAAUUUUAUUUUCUCUUUAUUAUAAUGUUAGCUACUUCAAGAGAUCGGCUUAGGGCUAGCAGGGUUAGUAAGAGGGAUAGUAAUGCAAUAAUAAAGAAACUAUAGAAGCACAAUCCGUUCUAGUUUUCUUUACUGCACACCCUGGGGAAUAUUCAUAUUGCAAUAGACUGCAACAAAAUGCACUUAAAGUGAGAUAGAGCCUGCCUGCUCCUUUUCCCCACCCUCGGAGUCUUUGUGCGUGUGUGUUUGAUAUAGCACAUCAUUAUUUCUUUUCUGGUUUGCAAGAUAUUUAAUUUCUUCCAUUUUACUUCCAGCAUUUACAGGUCCCUCACUAACAAAAAAGCGGUCAGGUCUGUUUUCGAACACAAAAUAAAACAAGUCAAAAAUUCAACAGCAAUAAAAACCAGCAAAAUUUGACGUAGCUAGAAUUCAGAAAGCAGACAAGAAAAAAUAUUGGAGUAAAACAGGUUAAAUGGCAUAGAAAACAGAUUUGUAAAGGUGCUGGAAAAUAAAAUUAAAAAGUUUCCCUGCUAAAUGAAGUUGUUAUAGGAAUUAUAAGGUCUCAAAUGUAGAAUGAAUGUUGAUAAUUGCACAAGGUAAACACACAUACCUAAGUAUAUAAACCACAUGUCUAAAAUAUUACAGGAAAGCAACCCAAAAGCCAUCUUGGCUCUCCUAGAGACUCUCAAUAUUUCCUCUGCCUCCUUAAUCCCCCUUGCAUGAGAACACGUAGGCAGAUAGCAAUCAGGGAAAGAUCCUGAAGGGAUUCCCCUCCUAUAUCUAUGAAUCUCCUUUGUAUUAAUUGUCAUUGUUUGCCCAGAUGCUCUACGUUGAGGGAUGUCUUAUGGCUAUCCUGAUUGUCUUACCCAAUGCUAAUGUUUUGUGCAAACUGUAUCAGGAACUAUGUAAAACUUGCUAAAUUCUCAGGAAUAUCACACCUUGGCCUGCCUGAGCCACAGUAACCCCACCUUAUGUGUGACAUAAUUUCUAACCGUUUGUUGAGAGGGGAUGCACUGGCGGAGGAAGAGGAGUGGGGGGGAGCGCACCAACCCCAGCAGCGCGAUCCCGGCAGAGUGCCAUCGCAGCUGCCCCCCUGCCUGCGCUGGGCACCCCGACCCCAGGACACGCGCCUGCUCUCCACCCCCCAGUGCCGAAGCAUGAAGCUCCGCCACUGAGGGGAUAUCCUCCUUCUCCACGCCAAAAUGAAAACCCUUAAAAAGAGAUGUUUCUUCGUGGUUCUGGGUCUCUCUUGCCUCCUUGCAACAGAAAAAUAAAGUUCUGCCUUGCUUUUGCUGCAUCCUUUCUCCAUCCAUUCAUCUCUGAUCGAUCAUGGACUUAGCGGACUCAGUCCCUUGGGGGGGUUGGGCAUCAAAAGCCAACCACCCCUAUUUUUCUAUAUUGAAGUGAAGCAGGUAACUGUGCUACAGAGUUCUCCAAACUUGAGAACUGCCCACUUUCUUGAAUGUUUUUUUAAAAAGAGAUGGGAAGACACAGUGAGCCAGUGUGGUGUAGUGGUUAAGAGCGGUAGUCUUGUAAUCUGGUGAACUGGGUUCGCUUCCCCGCUCCUCCACAUGCAGCUGCUGGGUGACCUUGGGCCAGUCACACUUCUCUGAAGUGUCUCAGCCCCACUCACCUCACAGAGUGUUUGUUGUAGGGGAGGAAGGGAAAGGAGAAUGUUAGCCGCUUUGAGACUCCCUAGGGUAGUGAUAAAGCGGGAUAUCAAAUCCAAACUCUUUUUCUUGUCUUCUUAAACUUUGGGUUCUGGGCUGAAUGAAUGCCUAAAAUGCAUGGAUGGGGAACCUUUAGCCCUCCAGAUGUUGCUGAACUGCAACUCCCAUCUGCCUCAGCACACAUGGCCAAUGGCCUGGUGUUGAAAGAAUCUCAGCAACAUUUGGAAGGCCAAAGCUUCCCUCCACCUGCUGUAAAACGAAAGGUGAGUUUCUACCAUGUCCAAUGGCCCUGCCAGCCCCUUCUGGCUCAGGCUACAUACCUAAUGUUGACCUUGCAUAUAAAAACCAUCACAACCUGAUAGCCUGGCAGGAUAUAAAUCUGAAUUUCAGAAAGAUUAAUUCAAUUUGGUGCUCAUCUAAAAUUUCCUUCCUUCCAGGGAACAGUUCUUUUUAUUAUAUUUUUUUAAAUGGUCUCAUGCGUGUGUUUUCAAAUGCAGUAAAUAGUCUUGUUCUGAGCUCUUUGCCUUUCUUAGACUCUGACAUAAGGAGGCUAUAAAUUAUUUCCUUCUAUAAAAGGCAAGGAGGUAAAUCCUCAGCAGAAUGUGCAGAGAAUUAGCCACUUAACUCCCAUUAGCAUUAAUAAGAACGGAAUAUUUAUUUACUCCACAGCACAUAAAUCACAACCUUGUAACUUCUAUAAUUUCUUAACUAUAAUGUUUCCAUUGUUCCCUUGGCUCCUGGUUAUCCACCUCAAAUAUUUACCGGAGGUGUUGGCUUCAAAGAAGUAGGGUGACCUCGCUGAGACUUUGCUCUUUCCUGUCAUCAUAGCAGCUGUAAAACUCCAGACUGAUUGUACCGGGGUGGUGAAGUCAUUGAAGAUUCUGGGACUGUGAACACAUUGUCAGCUUAAAAACGCAGCUGGGUCGUUCUUUUUCUCAAUUGAGAUCGAAGGUGGAAAUGCAUCAGAAUGCGGUAUUUCAUAAGAAACGACAGGAUAGAUAUGGAUUGUUGCUCACACCUCCACACCGGACCUAGUUAAACUAUGAAAGUCGCUCCCAUGGGAGGCAGCAAUGGCCACCAACUUGGAUGGCUUUGAAAGACGAUUAGACAAAUCCAUGGAGGACAACGCUAUAAAAGCCUACUAGCUAUGAUGAACAUGUCCUACCUCCAGGGAUGCCCUGCUGCCACACCCAUGAUGGGGAGCAGUGGUCUAAACCACUGAGCCUCUUGGGCUUGCCGAUCAGAACGACAGCGGUUCGAAUCCCCAUGAUGGGGUGAGCUCCCGUUGCUCUGUCCCAGCUCCUGCCAACCUAGCAGUUUGAAAGCACACCAGUGCAAGUAGAUAAAUAGAUACCUCUCCGGCGGGAAGGUAAACGGUGUUUCCGUGCACUCUGGCUUCUGUCACAGUGUCCCAUUGUGCCAGAAGCGGUUUUAUCAUGCUGGCCACAUGACCUGGAAAGCUGUCUGUGGACAAACACUGGCUCCCUCAGCCUGAAGCAAGAUGAGUGCCGCAACCCCAUAGUUGCCUUUGGCUGGACUUAACUGUCCAGGAAUCCUUUACCUUUAGCUUACCUAGUGGCCCACGUGGUCCAGAAUCCUGUUCUCAUAGUGGCCAACCAGGGGCCCUUUACCUUUUUUAGGGGUGCAAAAUCUGUAGGGGUGGCAAGGGGAGAUCUUUAGUUGCCAAGCAAACUGGAGUGGGUACGAUCGCUAACACAGCCACAGCUCUGCUUGAGCAUGCUUCCUUAGAGAUGGGCCUCAUCCGCUCUAUCAGAAAACAUUAAAAAAAACUUGCCUUGAACUGAAUCAUUUCCAGUAUCUUUCUAGGCUCAUGUAUUAUCUGCAUGCCCUGGCAGUGGCUUCCUGGCAGAGGUCAUCUAAAAUGCUGUUCAGUGGGAAUGACAGGAACUAAAGUGGCCGUGGGUCAGGGUAGGAAACUGGAUUCUGCUGAUGGGCCCUGCUGGGGCCCUGCACCUGUCAAUCACCUGACAUCACAGUGAUGCCAGAUGACCUGCUUUCCUUUGCCCAUGCUGGUGCUUGCAAAGCUCUGAAGGUGGUGUUGGCUGAUUGGUACUGUCGGCAAACUCUGCUUUCAGGCCAGCUGUAUCUUUACCUGCCCCAUAGCUGAAAUGUGGGCGUGGCUUGGUCAAAAUGGCUUCACAGGCUAAGUGGGGAGGCCUGGUGUGAAUGAUUAAGCUAAGGGAUGGAGGUUCCUCACUGCUGCCAUUCGCUUGAAUGGCUCUCCAGUCCAAGUCUGGUUUAACGACAAUGAACCAUCAGAAGGGACAGCAGGAGGAGCCUUUUGAAAUUGCCCCAUCAACAGUUAGUACCUGGGCACCAGACUGAGCAGAUACCCAGUGGCCAACUGGUCACAGUCUUCCCCACUAUGGUGAGAUGUAUCACAAUGCUGUAUAAAUUAUCAAUCUUUUUUUGUGUCUAUGCAUAUAAAUUAGCAUAUAUAAUAUCCCCUUGGCCCUCCCUCU